GAGGUUCUGCCUACCCGAGGCCGAGGCCGCUGCUGUGCGGAGACCCCCGGGUGAAACCACCGUCAUCAUGUCUGACCAGGAGGCAAAACCUUUAACUGAGGACUUGGGGCAUAAGAAGGAAGGUGAAUAUAUUAAACUCAAAGUCAUUGGACAGGAUAGCAGUGAGAUUCACUUCAAAGUGAAAAUGACAACACAUCUCAAGAAACUCAAAGAAUCAUACUGUCAAAGACAGGGCGUUCCAAUGAAUUCACUCAGGUUUCUCUUUGAGAGUCAGAGAAUUGCUGAUAAUCAUACUCCAAAAGAACUGGGAAUGGAGGAAGAAGAUGUGAUUGAAGUUUAUCAGGAACAAACGGGGGGUCAUUCAACAGUUUAGAUAUUAUUUUUAUUUUUUUUCUUUUCCCUCAAUCCUUUUUUAUUUUUAAAAAUAGUUCUUUUGUAAUGUGGUGUUCAAAACGGAAUUGAAAACUGGCACCCAUCUCUUUGAAACAUCUGGUAAUUUGAAUUCUAGUGCUCAUUAUUCAUUAUUGUUUGUUUUCAUUGUGCUGAUUUUUGGUGAUCAAGCCUCAGUCCCCGUCAUAUUACCCUCUCCUUUUUAAAAAUUACGUGUGCACAGAGAGGCCACCUUUUUCAGGACAUUGCAUUUUCAGGCUUGUGGUGAUAAAUAAGAUUGACCAAUGCAAGUGUUCAUAAUGACUUUCCAAUUGGCCCUGAUGUUCUAGCAUGUGAUUGCUUCACUCCUGGACUGUGACUUUCAGUGGGAGAUGGAAGUUUUUCAGAGAACUGAACUGUGGAAAAAUGACCUUUCUUUAACUUGAAGCUACUUUUAAAAUUUGAGGAGGAAUAUCAGGUUGAAGUCAAGAUGACAGAUAAGGUGAGAGUAGCUAACUCCAAAGAUGGCUUCACCGAAGAAAAGGCAUUUUAAGAUUUUUUAAAAAUCUUGUCAGAAGAUCCCAGAAAAGUUCUAAUUUUCAUUAGCAAUUAAUAAAACUAUACAUGCAGAAAUGAAUACAACAAAACACUGCUCUUUUUUAUUUUAUUUGUACUUUUUGGCCUGGGAUAUGGGUUUUAAAUGGACAUUGUCUGUACCAGCUUCAUUAAAAUAAACAAUAUUUGUAAAAAUCAUAA